AUUGAACGCUGGCGGCAUGCCUUACACAUGCAAGUCGAACGGUAACGGGCCUUCGGGUGCCGACGAGUGGCGAACGGGUGAGUAAUGCAUCGGAACGUACCUUUCAGUGGGGGAUAACGUAGCGAAAGUUACGCUAAUACCGCAUAGUCUGUGAGCAGGAAAGCAGGGGAUCGAAAGACGUGGCGCUGAGUGAGCGGCCGAUGUCGGAUUAGCUAGUUGGUGAGGUAAAGGCUCACCAAGGCGACGAUCUGUAGCGGGUCUGAGAGGAUGAUCCGCCACACUGGAACUGAGACACGGUCCAGACUCCUACGGGAGGCAGCAGUGGGGAAUUUUGGACAAUGGGGGCAACCCUGAUCCAGCCAUGCCGCGUGAGUGAAGAAGGCCUUCGGGUUGUAAAGCUCUUUCGGCCGGGAAGAAAUCGCACGGGCUAAUACCCUGUGUGGAUGACGGUACCGGAAUAAGAAGCACCGGCUAACUACGUGCCAGCAGCCGCCGUAAGAC
rnacentral:rRNA from 1 species